GAUGAACGCUGGCGGCGUGCUUAACACAUGCAAGUCGAACGAGAAAUGUAGACGGACACCUUCGGGCGGAAGCCUUCAUUUCGAGUGGCGGACGGGUGAGUAACGCGUGGGUAACCUGCCUCAUACAGGGGGAUAACAGUUUGAAACGACUGUUAAUACCGCAUAAGACCACCGCGUCGCAUGAUGCGGGGGUAAAAACUCCGGUGGUAUGAGAUGGACCCGCGUUCGAUUAGCCAGUUGGCGGGGUAACGGCCCACCAAAGCGACGAUCGAUAGCCGAGCUGAGAGGAUGACCGGCCACAUUGGGACUGAGACACGGCCCAAACUCCUACGGGAGGCAGCAGUGGGGAAUAUUGCACAAUGGGGGAAACCCUGAUGCAGCGACGCCGCGUGAGUGAAGAAGUACUUCGGUAUGUAAAGCUCUAUCAGCAGGGAAGAAAAUGACGGUACCUGAGGAAGAAGCCCCGGCUAACUACGUG
rnacentral:rRNA from 1 species